rnacentral:rRNA from 1 species
ACAGUGGCGAACGGGUGCGUAACACGUUGGUGACCUGCCUUAAGGAGGGGGACAACCGUGGGAAACCACGGCUAAUACCCCGGAUGUCUAAACUGUUAGAGGGUAUAGACUAAAACUUCGGUGCCUCAAGAGGGGCCUGCGGGCUAUCAGCUUGUUGGUGGGGUAAUGGCCUACCAAGGCUAAGACGGCUAGGGGGCGUGAGAGCGCGACCCCCCACAAUGGAACUGAGACGCGGUCCAUACUCCUACGGGAGGCAGCAGUGAGGAAUAUUGCGCAAUGGGGGAAACCCUGACGCAGCAACGCCGCGUGCACGAUGAAGGCCUUCGGGUCGUAAAGUUCUUUUCUAAGGGAAGAUAGUGACGGUACCUUAGGAAUAAGUCCCGGCUAACUACGUGCCAGCAGCCGCGGUAAAACGUAGGGGGCGAGCGUUAUCCGGAUUUAUUGGGCGUAAAGCGCACGUAGGUGGCGCUGUUAAGUUAGACGUAGAAAGCUCUCGGCUCAACUGAGAGAGGUCGUAUAGAACUGCAGUGCUUGAGGUUAGAAGAGGAGAGCAGAAUCCCCGGUGUAGUGGUGGAAUGCGGUAGAUAUCGGGGAGGAAUACCAUUGGCGAAGGCCGGCUCUCUAGUCGACACCUGACAACUGAGGGCAGAAAGCGUGGGUAGCAGAACGGGAUUAGAUACCCCGAGUAGUCCAACGCCUGUAAAACGAUGGAUACUAGGGUGUACGGGGGUCAUUUAACCCCUCUUGUGCCGAGGGCAAACGCGUUAAGUAUCCCGCCCUGGGGACUACGGGCCGCAGGGUUCAAACUCACACGGAAUUGACCGGGGGCCCGCACAAGCAGCGGAGCGUGUGCUUUAAUUCGAUGAUACGCGAAGAACCUUACCUGGGCUGAACUACGUGGUAGUAGUGAAGCGAAAGCGGAUCGACCCUUCGGGGAGCCUCGAUAGUUGCUGCAUGGCUGUCGUCAGCUCGUGUCGUGAGAUGUUGGGUUAAGUCCCGCAACGUGCGCAACCCUCGUCGCUAGUUACAAGUGUCUAGCGAGACUGCCGGUAUCAAACCGGAGGAAGGUGGGGAUGACGUCAAGUCAGCAUGGUCUUUAUGUCCAGGGCUACACACACGCUACAAUGGUCGGUACAAUAGCUUGCCACACCGCGAGGUGGAGCUAAUCCUCAAAGCCGAUCUCAGUUCGGAUUGUAGUCUGCAACUCGACUACAUGAAGGCGGAGUUGCUAGUAACCGCGCGUCAGCAUAGUGCGGUGAAUGCGUUCCCGGGCCUUGUAC